rnacentral:rRNA from 1 species
AUUGAACGCUGGCGGCAUGCCUUACACAUGCAAGUCGAACGGCAGCGGGGGAGAAGCUUGCUUUUCCUGCCGGCGAGUGGCGAACGGGUGAGUAAUACAUCGGAACGUGCCCUGUAGUGGGGGAUAACUAGUCGAAAGAUUAGCUAAUACCGCAUACGACCUGAGGGUGAAGGUGGGGGACCGCAAGGCCUCAUGCUAUAGGAGCGGCCGAUGUCUGAUUAGCUAGUUGGUGGGGUAAAGGCCUACCAAGGCGACGAUCAGUAGCUGGUCGGAGAGGACGAUCGGCCACACUGGGACUGAGACACGGCCCAGACUCCUACGGGAGGCAGCAGUGGGGAAUUUUGGACAAUGGGCGAAAGCCUGAUCCAGCGAUGCCGCGUGUGUGAAGAAGGCCUUCGGGUUGUAAAGCACUUUUGUCCGGAAAGAAAUGGCUCUGGUUAAUACCUGGGGUCGAUGACGGUACCGGAAGAAUAAGGACCGGCUAACUACGUGCCAGCCGCCGCGGUAA